rfam:Actinobacteria bacterium RBG_19FT_COMBO_36_27 rbg_19ft_combo_scaffold_7518, whole genome shotgun sequence.
AAUACCUUUAAAAUAGUCCGGAGAGACUAAAAAGGAAUGAAAAAGAUAAAGAUAUCUGAAAAAAGUUCUAAUAUUAAGAAUUUAUUGACCUUCUUACCUAUUUGGUAAGAAGGUUUUUUUAU